AAUGAACGCUGGCGGCAGGCCUAACACAUGCAAGUCGAACGAAGCCUUCGGGCUUAGUGGCGGACGGGUGAGUAACGCGUGGGAACGUGCCCUUUGCUUCGGAAUAGCCUCGGGAAACUGGGAGUAAUACCGAAUGUGCCCUACGGGGGAAAGAUUUAUCGGCAAAGGAUCGGCCCGCGUUGGAUUAGGUAGUUGGUGGGGUAAUGGCCUACCAAGCCUACGAUCCAUAGCUGGUUUUAGAGGAUGAUCAGCCACACUGGGACUGAGACACGGCCCAGACUCCUACGGGAGGCAGCAGUGGGGAAUCUUAGACAAUGGGCGCAAGCCUGAUCCAGCCAUGCCGCGUGAGUGAUGAAGGCCUUCGGGUUGUAAAGCUCUUUCGCACACGACGAUGAUGACGGUAGUGUGAGAAGAAGCCCCGGCUAACUUCGUGCCAGCCGCCGCAGUAACAC
rnacentral:rRNA from 1 species